rnacentral:rRNA from 1 species
GCGUGCAUGAUCUUCAGAUCUUGCUACUGAACUCUGAACUCCAACGGAACGGACCGGCCAAGUGAGCGCAGAGUUUAACUUUUCAUAACGUAAGUUGGUGUUCCCAAGGUUAUAUUGGUGUGGAGCCUUCGUGAGUAUUCCUCUAUUUUCAACAGGAGAACCGACAGAUGUCAAGUCUUUAGGGUUCGUGGUACCGGUUCCUGUUUCUCUGGCCGCACGCCGGAAACACGCGGCGACCACUAUCCUCUCGGUACGGAGAGCUCUGAACGGUGGAGCAGCGAGACGAGGAGAACGAUGAGUACCGAUGACCAGCGACGGAGCGCCGGUGGCCGCCACCGCCGUGGCUACUGCCAGCCCUCAAGCGGAUGUUGCCGAAGUGUCCGCGCUUGGACUGCGAGCUACCGCGGCGGAAGUGUGGCCUACCGGAGGAGUACGACUGGUUGCCGUGGUGAGUCCGUGGCGACGGCAAGGCGCAGCUCCGCUUGCGGUGGCCACGGCGUGCCAGGAAGAGGUGAUGAAAGCAGAAACGGUAGAUGCCCGUCAGGCGGUUGGAUUCGUCGGGGCCGUACCGGAAGAAGCAAAGGCUUAGGUUACUCCACUAGAGGUGACGCUACGGUCCGGUCAAGAACCCGGAGGAGUUGGUGUGGCUACCUCCAUUGGCCUCGCUCGUGUAGAAACGGCACCUCAAGCUAUGCGAGAAGUUGCUGCUGAAGGCGCUGUAGUUGUUGUUGGUGCAGCCUCAGCUGCAGCUAUCGAACCACAGCCAGCAUAGGCGUCACGGGCCCAUGGAGCUACUGAAGCCUAUAUUACCCAUGCCGGGUUUAAAGUUAUUGGAUUCGGACUGGUCACCCGGUACGUCCACACCCACCUGAUGCUGCCGGCCCGGUGUGUCCAGUUGCACUGGUACCGAGGGAACCCGCACCGGUCUGGGUUCAUGGGAGAAGACGUCUGGUGGCAGCUGGAGAGCCCACACCACGACUCGUGCCGCACGUAACCGAAGAGCCGCCGUUGCCCGCGUGAGCGGUGUCCUGUGAAGCAGAAGCCGACCUCGAAACGCGACCUAUCCGGUCGGGGACGCGACUGGUAGAGUCGCGACGGCCGGAACGGCGGCAAUCGGACCGGGUUCGGUUUCAGGUUAAGGUUCUAAGACCUCUAUCACGACCGGCAUUGCAGCCGCUGCCACCAAAGGCGGUAUCCGGAGCCUUAGAUGUAUAAACAUUCGUCACCGCCACGGUCCUAGUUUUGGAACACUACAGUCCAAAACAUGAUCGCUUAAAAACAUCUGUUUAAUUUAUCCUUGUGUUUCCUAACAUUAAGGAAAAAUUUCUAUCAAUCAUAAAGUUUAAAUAAUAGUCACAAAGAAAGUUACGUAAUAGAAACUC